GACAGAGGGUGCAACCGUUAUUCGGAAUUACUGGGCUUAAAGGGUGCGUAGGCGGCGCGGAAAGUUGGGUGUGAAAUCCCUCAGCUCAACCGAGGAACUGCGCCCAAUACUACCGUGCUCGAGGGAGAUAGAGGUGAGCGGAACUUAGGGUGGAGCGGUGAAAUGCGUUGAUAUCCUAAGGAACACCGGUGGCGAAAGCGGCUCACUGGAUCUCUUCUGACGCUGAGGCACGAAAGCUAGGGUAGCGAACGGG
rnacentral:rRNA from 1 species